GUGUUCACUUUGGCAGCACACAUACUAAAAUUGUAAUGAUGCAGAGAAUAUUAGCAGGACCCUGUGCAGGAAUGACAUACAAAUUUGUGAAGCAUUCCAUAUUAUA
ensembl:snRNA RNU6-587P RNA, U6 small nuclear 587, pseudogene